GGCCCUGUAGCUCAUCGGUGAGAGCGGCCUCCUUAUAAGGGGUGGGUACCUGGUUCAAUUCCAGGCAGGGCUA
rnacentral:tRNA from 1 species